CCUACGGGAGGCAGCAGUGGGGAAUUUUGGACAAUGGGGGCAACCCUGAUCCAGCAAUGCCGCGUGAGUGAAGAAGGCCUUCGGGUUGUAAAGCUCUUUUGUCAGGGAAGAAACGGCAGUUUCUAAUACAAGCUGCUAAUGACGGUACCUGAAGAAUAAGCACCGGCUAACUACGUGCCAGCAGCCGCGGUAAUACGUAGGGUGCAAGCGUUAAUCGGAAUUACUGGGCGUAAAGCGUGCGCAGGCGGUUAUAUAAGUCAGAUGUGAAAUCCCCGGGCUCAACCUGGGAACUGCAUUUGAGACUGUAUGGCUAGAGUGUGUCAGAGGGGGGUAGAAUUCCACGUGUAGCAGUGAAAUGCGUAGAUAUGUGGAGGAAUACCGAUGGCGAAGGCAGCCCCCUGGGAUAACACUGACGCUCAUGCACGAAAGCGUGGGGAGCAAACAGGAUUAGAUACCCUGGUAGUCCACGCCCUAAACGAUGUCUACUAGUUGUCGGGUCUUAAUUGACUUGGUAACGCAGCUAACGCGUGAAGUAGACCGCCGUGGGGAAGUCGGUGCAGAUUAAACUUGAAGGAUUGACGGNNGAGAGNGCGAGACGACGACGAGGGAGGAGG
rnacentral:rRNA from 1 species